UGCCCAAGACAGGAAUCGAACCUGUGUCGCUCACGGGGGGGGGGGCGGCGGGUGUGGGGGGGGGGGGGGGGACCCACAACGUGGAGUACUAACCACUAUACUACUUGGGC